rnacentral:rRNA from 1 species
AAGGNCAUNUAGGCGGUUNUUNAGCCUGAUUUGAANUCCUGGGNNUUACCCUAGAAUAGCAUUGGGUACUGUGUAACUUGAAUUACNGAAGGGAAACUNGAAUUCCNAGUGUAGGGGUGGAAUCUGUAGAUAUUUGGAAGAACACCGGUGGCGAAGGCGGGUUUCUNGCCGAUAAUUGACGNUGAGAUGCGAAAGUGUGGGGAUCGAACAGGAUUAGAUACCCUGGUAGUCCACACCGUAAAC